AUUUAAAUAGUUUAAUUAAUUAAAAUUUUGAUUUGUGGAAUCAGGGAUAUAGAUUUAUUUUAAAUA
rnacentral:tRNA from 1 species